ACUCUCACCUGGCAGAGGAGAUGCCAUGAUCACAAAGGUGGUUUUCUCAGGGUGAGACUUAUGGAUUUCAUUCUGGGUCUGAUGACCCGCACGGUUUUCCCAGAUAUGAGAAACUCAUAGAUGCAGAAACUGCAUAAUUUGUGGUUGAGAGGGACUGCAUUUCCACUUUACCCUGU
ensembl:snRNA U1 U1 spliceosomal RNA